UACGUAGGGUGCGAGCGUUAAUCGGAAUUACUGGGCGUAAAGCGUGCGCAGGCGGUUUUGUAAGUCAGAUGUGAAAGCCCCGGGCUCAACCUGGGAAUGGCAUUUGGGACUGCGAGGCUGGAGUGCGGCAGAGGAGACUGGAAUUCCUGGUGUAGCAGUGAAAUGCGUAGAUAUCAGGAGGAAUACCGAUGGCGAAGGCAGGUCUCUGGGCUGACACUGACGCUCAUGCACGAAAGCGUGGGGAGCAAACAGG
rnacentral:rRNA from 1 species